UUUACGUGUGGCCUUUAGUGAAUUAGUGCGACACCAUAGGCUGAAGUUUGAGAUGUUGGGUAAUGUAGUAGAGUAGUUGGAUAUUGAUAAUACAAAUAAGGCUAGUGUUUUUCUAGACUAUACUCCACCUAGGAAGAUGGAUUUGAUCAUUCAAAAGCUUGGCAAUGGUAGGAUUUUUUUUUCCCCUGUUCAGUUUUAUCAAUUUUUAAAUUAUUUUCACUUUUCUGUCAUCAUUUAUAUUGGUUCAGGGUCUUUCAGUUGCUCCAAGUAAUUUGGGAUUUCUAAUUUCAAUAUUUCCUAUUUUUGGCUUAAUCUAUAUCGUACAGAUGCCCAGAUUGCUAAUGCUCACUGAGUUCAGUAGGCUAGCAUGGCCCUUAAAAUUCUUCUUGACUUGACCUAAAAUCAAAAUUGUAUUUUGGGAAUUGGGGUUUUUCCCAACAAUAAUUAUGGAAAGAGAUCCAUGAAGUAGAUAUAAUAACAAGUAUGUCAUAAAAUUACCUUAAAGCGAGGAGGACACCCCGUAAUAGAGAUGAAAGUUGUAACAUAUUCUAAAAAUUCAUUGGCAGUUUUCAUACUGACGCCCCUUAAGUACUCAAGGGAGGGGGUUGUUUCGGGGGUCGGGGAAGGGGAGAGGUGGGCUGGGCAUAGACAGACUUAGUGGGCUGGAUUCUAAUGGUGUUAGUAUGGCCCUUAAUUAAAAAUAUAAUAAAGUAAAAUAAAAUAAAUUCACUAAUUUUCAUUCCUCAUUCCAUAAUUCGUCUUACUGUUCUUCCUAAGAAAAAAAAUCGUCUUCUUCUUCGUGACGCCAUUUUGUCUUGACCCCAAUUCACAGAAAUGGCAACGAGAUAUCCAUGUCCAUGUGGAGCAGACGGUCUUAUUAUGGCAGUAACAAAAAAACAGGGGUGGAUCACAAUAGGAAGUAUCUAAAAUGUCCUUCUGAACAUGGAGUUUGUGGUUUCUAUUCUUUUCAAGACGAACUAAGACUCUGCGAGUGUGGUAAGGGAUACUACCGCAAUACCUUCAAGAAAAAGGUGAAAUAUUGGUGUUGUCCAUGAUUCUAAGGGUACUGAUGGUGAUUGUGGAUUUGAGGCAUAAGUGCCUUCCAAAUCCCCUACAACACCAUGCCGGUCUUCCACAAGUAUCCCCUGCCAGCCUUCCACAAAUACCCUUGCUACUCCCAGAUUCACCGAAGAAAAGUGCAGGGAAGCAAUUUUGAGGUCUUUAGAAGUAUCACAAAUAUCAAACAAUUCCUUGGUUGACAUUAUUAAAGAUCUUACUAACCUUUUGGUCAAUAAUGAUAUUUCUACCGAUGAUGACCUUUGAAGUGACACCACAUUUUUAAGAAGAUGAAGAUAUGUUUUUGCUGACCUGCAGUUAUGUAAUUGUACCAAAACAAUCUGGCCUUGAACUUAAUAUAUGUUCAUUAGAACAACAUAGGUAGAUCUUUUGUUAUAUUAAUUAGAAUUUAACUAGUUUAUUAAUACGUUUGAUGUGCGUGUUGUGCCCUUGGUGUUGGUUAAUGUUGGUGUUUUGGUGGUACUUAGUCUAUUAUAAAGAGUUUUCUAUUC